GUGGGGAAUAUUGGACAAUGGGCGAAAGCCUGAUCCAGCCAUGCCGCGUGUGUGAAGAAGGUCUUCGGAUUGUAAAGCACUUUAAGUUGGGAGGAAGGGCAGUAAGUUAAUACCUUGCUGUUUUGACGUUACCGACAGAAUAAGCACCGGCUAACUUCGUGCCAGCAGCCGCGGUAAUACGAAGGGUGCAAGCGUUAAUCGGAAUUACUGGGCGUAAAGCGCGCGUAGGUGGUUUUGUAAGUUGGAGGUGAAAUCCCCGGGCUCAACCUGGGAACUGCCUCCAAAACUGCAUGACUAGAGUACGGUAGAGGGUAGUGGAAUUUCCUGUGUAGCGGUGAAAUGCGUAGAUAUAGGAAGGAACACCAGUGGCGAAGGCGACCACCUGGACUGAUACUGACACUGAGGUGCGAAAGCGUGGGGAGCAAACAGGAUUAGAAACCCGUGUAGUCC
rnacentral:rRNA from 1 species